rnacentral:lncRNA from 1 species
UUUCCACUUCCACCUGGCUGUUAUACAAACAAUUUUGGAUUACUCUUUUUUUUUUUUUGUUUUUGAGACAGGGUCUCUCUGCGUAGCCCUGGCUGUCCUGGAACUCCAUCUGUAGACCAGGCUGGCCUCAAACUCAUAGAAAUCUACCUGCCUCUGCCUCCUGAGUGCCGGGAUUAAAGGAGUGAGCCACCUUGCCUGGCACAACUCAAGUUACUUGUGUGGACCCAUUUAAACCCCACCUUCAAUUGGUGCCCACAUGGGUUCAGUCCCAUGAUUAGCCUGCACGGCCGGUCGACCACAGCUCCCAUGACCCC